GCGGGCUGGGAGGCGUUCCAGCCCGUUAAGAUGUUGCGCGUGGUGAGCUGGAACAUCAAUGGGAUUCGGAGACCCCUGCAAGGGGUGGCAAAUCAGGAACCCAGCAACUGUGCCGCCGUGGCCGUGGGGCGCAUUUUGGACGAGCUGGAUGCGGAUAUCGUCUGUCUCCAGGAAACCAAAGUGACCAGGGAUGCACUGACAGAGCCCCUGGCUAUCGUUGAGGGUUAUAACUCCUAUUUCAGCUUCAGCCGCAACCGUAGCGGCUAUUCUGCACAUGGGAAGGGAAGGAGAAGACCUUGACCCUAAUCAACGUGUACUGCCCCCAUGCGGACCCUGGGAGGCCUGAGCGGCUAGUCUUUAAGAUGCGCUUCUAUCGUUUGCUGCAAAUCCGAGCAGAAGCCCUCCUGGCGGCAGGCAGCCAUGUGAUCAUUCUGGGUGACCUGAAUACAGCCCACCGCCCCAUUGACCACUGGGAUGCAGUCAACCUGGAAUGCUUUGAAGAGGACCCAGGGCGCAAGUGGAUGGACAGCUUGCUCAGUAACUUGGGGUGCCAGUCUGCCUCUCAUGUAGGGCCCUUCAUCGAUAGCUACCGCUGCUUCCAACCAAAGCAGGAGGGGGCCUUCACCUGCUGGUCAGCAGUCACUGGCGCCCGCCAUCUCAACUAUGGCUCCCGGCUUGACUAUGUGCUGGGGGACAGGACCCUGGUCAUAGACACCUUUCAGGCCUCU
rnacentral:sRNA from 1 species